rnacentral:rRNA from 1 species
UACGUAGGGUCCGAGCGUUGUCCGGAGUUACUGGGCGUAAAGCGCGCGCAGGUGGUUGAUCAAGUCUGGCGUGAAAGCCCCCGGCUUAACUGGGGAGGGUCGUCGGAGACUGGUCGACUUGAGGGCAGGAGGGGUUGGUGGAAUUCCCGGUGUAGUGGUGAAAUGCGUAGAGAUCGGGAGGAACACCCGUGGCGAAGGCGGCCAACUGGACUGACCCUGACACUGAGGCGCGAAGGCGUGGGGAGCGAACGGG